rnacentral:rRNA from 1 species
UGGGGAAUAUUGCACAAUGGGGGAAACCCUGAUGCAGCGACGCCGCGUGGAGGAAGAAGGUCUUCGGAUUGUAAACUCCUGUUGUUGGGGAAGAUAAUGACGGUACCCAACAAGGAAGUGACGGCUAACUACGUGCCAGCAGCCGCGGUAAAACGUAGGUCACAAGCGUUGUCCGGAAUUACUGGGUGUAAAGGGAGCGCAGGCGGGAAGACAAGUUGGAAGUGAAAUCUAUGGGCUCAACCCAUAAACUGCUUUCAAAACUGUUUUUCUUGAGUAGUGCAGAGGUAGGCGGAAUUCCGUGUGUAGCGGUGGAAUGCGUAGAUAUCGGGAGGAACACCAGUGGCGAAGGCGGCCUACUGGGCACCAACUGACGCUGAGGCUCGAAAGUGUGGGUAGCAAACAGGAUUAGAUACCCUGGUAGUCCACACCGUAAACGAUGAUUACUAGGUGUUGGAGGAUUGACCCCUUCCGUGCCGCAGUUAACACAAUAAGUAAUCCACCUGGGGAGUACGACCGCAAGGUUGAAACUCAAAGGAAUUGACGGGGGCCCGCACAAGCAGUGGAGUAUGUGGUUUAAUUCGACGCAACGCGAAGAACCUUACCAAGUCUUGACAUCCCUUGACGAACAUAGAAAUAUGUUUUCUCUUCGGAGCAAGGAGACAGGUGGUGCAUGGUUGUCGUCAGCUCGUGUCGUGAGAUGUUGGGUUAAGUCCCGCAACGAGCGCAACCCUUAUGGUCAGUUACUACGCAAGAGGACUCUGGCCAGACUGCCGUUGACAAAACGGAGGAAGGUGGGGAUGACGUCAAAUCAUCAUGCCCCUUAUGACCAGGGCUACACACGUGCUACAAUGGCGUAAACAAAGGGAAGCAGAGCCGCGAGGCCGAGCAAAUCUCAAAAAUAACGUCUCAGUUCGGAUUGUAGUCUGCAACUCGACUACAUGAAGCUGGAAUCGCUAGUAAUCGCGAAUCAGAAUGUCGCGGUGAAUACGUUCCC